rnacentral:lncRNA from 1 species
CGCGACCGCGAGGAGGAAGAGGAGAUGGGCUACGCGAGGCCCGGCCCACCCCGCGUUCGCGCGUGCGCACGGGGAGGCCGGGGCGGGGCGCGUGAGGACUUCGGCGCGCGCCGGAAGCACGUGCGCGGGCUGGGCGCUCUGGCGGUGUGCGCUGAGCUCCUGAGUAUAACAGAUUGGUUCUGAUUAAAACCAUUUCAGAGGAAAGACAGUGAUCCCAGGAAGCGGGAAGAAAACAGCAUCACCUGAAGUUAUUCCUAUUCGUUAGAUUUGUUUUCUUCCUGCGAAAAACUGCUAUGUACAAGAAAGAAGUCAGUGAGCUGCAGUGAUAGUUAGCAUUAUUGACUGAAACUGGACCAGAGAUCCCUGAAACCUGGACAAGGUGGUAGAAAUACAAAUUAUGCUGCCAUUUCAAAGCUGUGGGCAGUUUUCUACUUUGUGGAAAAUGAAGACUUAGGUAGGCCUUUGGGAAAGACGAUUUGUUUUGGAAAAACCACCCAAAGGGAUCAUUUGGUUUGCAAAUGUAACUGCAGUAUCACAACUGGAAGAAGAAAUAUACAAGGGCGAGGUUUGAAGGAGCCCUUCAGUAUCCUUGGAUGAUACUGUGGAAGAUUCUUUGCAUCUCAGUAACUUUGGAUCUUUGAAGAUCCAAGAAAAUAAAUUUCUUCAAAAUAUUUUUAGAGACUGCUUUGAUUCUGAGGCACUGCUGAUUAUAUGGAAGAAAAAAAUAUUGGAAGAUUAAUUUGUGGUUUUCUCCAGUUAUCGUCUCCCUUCUCUUUGGGGGAGGUUUGUGACGCAGUAAAAACAGAUAUACAAAAGCCUAGGCAUGUUAGAGAUUUGCCUAAGGGAAAUGUAAUUAUGAAGAAGGAUUUUUUCAAGCUGAAACUAGAUCCCACUUUUUUCCAGGUCAGUGGGUCCUUCAAGUAUCUGGUACUUUCCUUCCUGCUUCCUGACAAUGUUAAAGAAUGUGGCAUGACCUUACAUUUAAUGCCCAACGUGAGGAGCCCUGGGGCUUGAUGCAUGAGAUUCUUGGAGCUAGGCCUGGUGGAGGGCACUGGUCACAGCCUCGGUGGAAUGGUGACUUUCUUUGGUAACUGGAAUUGAAGAAAAUGAGUGGACUUGUGUCUGAGCACUUGGGAACUCAGCAAUCCCUGGGUGUUACCUUGAGAAGGAGCCAAAUUCCAGACAUACAAGUGGAGACUUGAAAAUGGAAGCUCAAUUCCACACCCAGGCUGGUGGAGACUAUGACAUAUAACUCACAUCUUCAAGAAAGUAGACACCUCAGAGGUCACUGGGCCACUUUACCUUCCACUGUCAAAACUAUGUCCAUGAUCAGAUACCUCUGUUGCUAGGGAAUAUUCAGUCAGAAUGGGCUAGAUUAACUGCAGUAAUGCAGAUCUCUCAACCCAUUUAUGACUUACGCAGCAAAGUUCCUCGCUCAGACUACCUGUCCACUCCCACGAGCAGAGACUUGCUCAUGGGCCCUCCUAGACCCAGGCUGACCGAGUGUGUUUUAUCUAAAUGCAUCUCCACAAUCACUCAGGUAGGAGUGGCUAUGCAUUAGGACUGAUUGUGCAUUAGUUAGAGAAGCACUUACCAGGAAUUGCUAUAAGAACUUCUAUUUACAUUUCAUGGGCCAAAGCAAGUCAUGUGGCAACACUUAAUUUCAAAGAGGACAGGAAAUGCAAUAUUGUUAUGUCCCUGAAAGAAAGGAGAAGAGAAAGUCUAUGGAAAGACAUUAUGACUACCACUGGAAUUUUCACCUGUCCAGGCAGCUCAUCGUGCUUUUAUUUGAAACAAUUUUAUUGAAGUAUAGGCAUAACUGCACAUACGUAUGUAUUUAUUUUAUUUUAUUUUUUGAGAUGUAGUCUUGCUUUGUUGCACAGGCUGGAAUGCAGUGGCGUGAUCUCAGCUCACUAUGACCUCUGCCUCCCGGGUUCAAGUGAUUCUCCUGCCUCAGACUUCUGAGUAGCUGGGAUUACAGCCACGCGCCACCACACCUGGCUAAUUUUUGUAUUUUUAGUAGAGACGGGGUUUCGCCUUGUUGGCUGUGCUGGUCUCAAACUCCUGACCUCAGGUAAUCCGCCUGCCUCAGCCUCCCAAAGUGCUGGGCAGCCUCCCAAAGUGCUGGGAUUACAGGCGUGAGCCACCGCACCUGGCCUGCACAUAUUUAAAGUGUACAUUUUGACAAUUUUUAAUAUAUAUGUACGCUUGUGCUUGCUGCUCCAGGGGACCGCUAUUUCUAGGCCUUUUCAGUGGACAGAGGCAUUUUUGUGAUUGUUUUAUCUCAUUUGUCACUUAGGAAGAAUAACUUCUUGUGAGGUUUAGUGGUGGUUUUGGGGUUGAUAGUAUAGGUCUUCAUCACAGUCCACCUCCAAGUGAUAAUACACUACUUUAUACAGAGUAUAAGAAACUGACAACCAUUUGCUUCCAUCCUCCCCCAGCAUCUGUGCUGGGGAUGUUGUACUUCUACAUAUGUUGUACACCCACAUACAUUGUUAUUGUUUUUACUUAAUAAGCUACUAAUUCUCUGUCUCUCUUUUCCUUUUAAUUGUGGUAAAAUAGACAUAAAAUGUAGCAACUCAGCCAUCUUGAAAUGUACAGUGGCAUUAAAUAUAUUCCCAUUGUUGUGCAACCAUCACCACCAUCCAUCUCUAGAACGCUUCAUGUUGCAAACCUGAAACUCUGUACCUGUUUAACAACAACUCCCCAUUCACUUCUCCCCACAGUGCCUGGCAACCACCAUUUUACUUCCUGUCUAGGAAUUGGCUUCUCUAGGUACAGUACCUCAUAUAAAUGGAGUCAUACAGUAUUUGUCUUUUCCUCACUGUCGUAUUUCACUUAGCAUAAUGUCCUCAAGAUUCAUCUGUAACAUUGUAGAAUGUGUCAGAAUUUCCUUCCUGUUUAAGACUGAAUACUAUUCAAUACUUUGUACAUAUAUACUGCAUUUUCAGCCAAUUCUUUUCAAUAGAUUUAAACAAUAAGAAAAAAGUGUUUUAUAUUUACUCACAUAGUUACCAUAUCUAAGACUCCUUAUUCUCUUGUAUAGAUUAGAUUUCCAUGGUCUCAUUUCCCUUUUGUCUGAAGGGCUUUCCUUGACAGAUCUUGAAGUGUAGAUCUCCUGGUGACUAAUUCUUUCAGCUUUUAUAUGUCCAAAAAAGUCUUUAUUUCACUUCUGUGUUUGAAGCUAUUUUUGCUCAAUUUCGAUUUUUAGGGUUUUCAAUUUUUUUUUUCUAACAUGAAGAUACUGUUUCAGUGUUUUCUGGCUCAUUUUGUUUCCGAUAAGGAGUGAACUGCCAUUCUUAUCUUUAUUUCUUUUAUGCAACGUGUCUUUUAUCUCUGCUUGGUUUUAAGAUUUCAUCUGUAUCACUAGUCUGAAGCAAUUUGAUUAUGAUGUGCCUUGGUGUUGAUUUUCUUUAAAGUUCUUGUCCUUGAGUUUCACUGAACUUCUCUGGUCUUUGAGUUUAUAGUUGCUAUCAGAUUUGGAGUUUUUUCAGCCAUUAUUUCUUCAAAUAUUUUUUUCUGCCCCUGCCUCUCCUUUCCUUUGGCGAUUCUACUACACAAAUAUUAGAUCACUUGAAUUUGUUUCACAGCUAACUCAGGCUUUGUUCAUUUUUUGUCAGUCUUUUUUCUUUCUGUUUUUCAUUUUCGUGUAAUUUCCAUUGCUGUGUCUUUAAAUUCACUCAUCUUUCCUAUAGUAUCUAAUCUGCUGUCAAUUCCAUCCAGCGUAUUUUUCGUCUCAGGCAUUGCCAUUUCACCUGCAGAAGUUUCACUCGGUGUCUGGACCUGCAUCUGGGUCCUCUGGUUUCCGUGUUUAGUGCUCAAGCAUAUGGAACAUGUGUCAUUUCUACUAACUUUAUCACCUAAGUAAUUUCUGAGAUUGUUUAUAUUGAUUGGCUUUUCUCUUCAUUGUAGGUAAUAUUUUCCUACUUUACAAGCCAGAUAAUUUUUUAUUGAAUGCCAGACAUUGAGAAGUUUACUUUGAGAUACAUAUAAUGUUUAUUUUUAUGAAUAUUUUUGAGCUUUGUUCUGGGGUGCAGGUAAGUUCCUUGGAAAGAGCUUGAUGCUUCAGGUCAUGUUUUUACACUUUUUUUAGGGGGUGGGCCCUGAGCAGCAUUCUACUCAACAAAUCCUUGAGUUGUGAAGGUUUUCACCAUGAUUGGCGGAAUUCGGAGUUCCUCUGGGCCGUGCGUGAGUGCUGGGGAUUGUUUUCUCUAAUAUUCGCUGGUGAUUCUUUAUCUGGCAUGGGGUAGGAGUGCCUACCACAGUAGGAAUUUGAAAUGCAGGUAUUUCUUCACUUGCCUGCACUGCUCAGUAAAGACUUGAAGGGAACCCUCUGCAAACCUCUGGCACUCUCUCUCUCUCUGUACAGCUCUGCACAACCCCCAGCUCAGGGAGUGCUGCUUCUUCCUCCUGUCUGACUCCAGAGCUCAGUCUGUGGCAGUCUUUCUCUGCAGUCACUUACUUGCUCAUUCAUUUCAUCUGGUCUUAAGGCUUUCAAUAUGAUCUAAAGCUGAUGAUUCCUUAAUUUCUAGCUUGCCUAGGCUUCUAUGUACAAUUGCUUACUUGAUACGUCCACUUGAAUGAAUGCCUAUUAGGUUUCUUAAUACUAACGAAAUAAAAACCAAGGCCGGGCACGGUGGCUCACGGCUGUAAUCCCAGCACUUUGGGAGGCCAAGGCGGGUGAAUCACAAGAUCAGGAGUUCAAGACCAGGCUGGACAAUAUGGUGAAACCCUGUCUCUACUAAAAAAUACAAAAAAUUAGCCAGGCAUGGUGGCGCGCACAUGUAGUCUCAUCUACUCAGGAGGCCGAGGCAGGAGAAUCGCUGGAACCUGGGAGGCAGAGGUUGCAGUGAGCCGAGAUCAUGCCACUGCACUCCAGCCCGGGCGACAGAGCAGAUUCCGUCUCAAAAUAAACAAACAAACAAACAAACCAAACAUCCAGAUUUCUUGACCAAACCAGUGCCUUCUGCAAUCUUUUGUAUCUCAGUAAAUGGCAGUUUGCCAGGUGUAUUAGUCAGGGUCGGGGUUCUCUAGAGGGACAGAACUAAUAGGAUACAUGUAUAUAUGAAAGGGAGUUUAUUGAGGAGAAUUGACUCACACGAUCACAAGCUAAAGUCCCAUGAUUGGCUGUCUGCAAGCUGAGGUGCAAGGAAGCCAGUGGUGGAUCAGUCCAAGUCCCAAAACCUCAAAAAUAGGGAAGCCGACAGUGUAGCCUUCCAUCUGUGGGCAAAGGCCCAAGAGGCCCUGGCAAACCACUGGUGUAAGUCUAAGAGUCCGAAAGCUGAAGAACUGGGAGGCUGAUGUUCAAGGGCAGGAAGCAUCCAGUACGGCAGAAAGAUGAAGGCCAGAAGACUCAGCAAGUCUGCUUUAUUCUAGCCGCUCUGGUAGCCGAUUAGAUGGGGCCCACCCAGAUUGAGGGUGGGUCAGCCUCUUCCGGUCCACUGACUCAAAUGUUAAUCUCCUUUGGGAACACCCUCACGACACACCUAGGAACAAUACUGUGAAUCCUUCAAUCAAGUUGACACUUAAUAUUAAACAUCACACCAGGGCCAAACCUUGGGAGUCCUGCCUGACUUCUCACACCCACAUUUGAUCCAUCAGCAAGUCCUACAGGCUCUACUGUCAAGAGCAUCCAGAAUCUGCUUUUGCUACUCCCACUGCCUCACCCCCGAAUCCUGGCCACCUCCUGGACCAGCCCGCCUCACCUCUCUCCUGCCUUUUGCAGCUACCUCCCCUUCCUGCUUCUAUGCUUGUCUCCCUGUGUUGUCUUUUCUCAACACAGCUGCUAGAGCAAUCCUAUUAAAAUGUAAACAAACAAAACCAAAAAUAAAUGACAAUUCUCCUUUAAAACAGCCAGUGUUGCCUGUAAUCCUAGGACUUUGGGAGGCCAAGGUGGGUGGAUCAUUUGAGGUCAGGAGUUCGAGACCAGCCUGGCCAACAUGGUGUAACCCCCCAACCUCUACUAAAAAUACAAAAAUUAGCCGGGCGUGGUGGGGGCGCCUGUAGUUCCAGCUACCUGGGAGGCUAAGGCAGGAGAAUCGCUUGAACCCGGGAGACAGAGUUUGCAGGGACCCGAGAUCAUGUCACUGCACUCCAGCCUGUGCGACAGAGCGAGACUCUAUCUCAAACAAAACAAAACAAAACAGCAACAAAAAAACAGCCAGUGUUGGGGGGAGGAGGGGACUAUAGGUCCCAUCAGGCCACCCUCUGCUCAAAGCCUCAUCUCACUCACAAUGGCCUAUAAAGUCAUCCAUGGUCUGCUCCCCCAACCCCUCAUUCUCUUGACUCUGAUCCUACAGGCCUUCUUGCUGGUUCUUAUACACAUCAAGCAGCCUUUGGCCUCAGGGCCUUUGCAUGUGCUUUUUUCCUCUUCCUGGAAUGCUCUUGUCCCAGAUGUCUACAUGGCCCUCACAGCCCACAUGUGUUCUGCUCACAGGGCACCUCAUGAGGAGGGCUUUUCUUUUCUUAUAUGAAAUAGCAACCCCUCUCCAUUUCAUCCCCCCAGCACUUCAUUUGCCCCCUAUUUUGUUCUAUGCCCCACUCCAUAGCAUUUAACAUCACUUAAAAUACAUAUCCUUUAUUAGUUUAUUGUGUGCUCCCUCUCUAGAUUAUAAGUUCUAUAAGGGCAGGAAAUGCUUUGGCCUUGUUCCCUGCUCCAUCCCCAUGCCUAAAAUAGUAUUUGGCACAUAGUAAACCCUCAAUCACUCGGAAGAUGUUGAAUGAGUGAAUGAAUGGAACAAAACUCAGCAGCUCUCUAUGGAUUUAAUGUAAUGAACUUAAUUGUAAAUAUGUUGAUUUAUGGGAAAUUUAAAAGUGGGGGUCUCUGGCCGGGCUCUGUGCUCAGACCUAUAAUCCCAGCACUUUGGGAGGCCGAGGCAGGCGGAUCACUUGAGGUCAGGAAUUUGAGACCAGCCUGGUCAACAUAGUAAAACCCUGUCUCUAUUAAAACUACAAAAAUUAGCUGGAUGUGGUGGUGCAUGCCUGCAAUCCCAGCUAUUUGGGAGGCUGAGGCAGGAGAAUCUUUUGACCCCGGAGGUAGAGGCUGCAGUGAGCCAAGACCACACCACUGUACUCCAGCCUGGGUGACAGAGAGAGAUUCCAUCUCAAAAAAAAAAAAAAAAUAGUGGAUCUCUUAUAUGCUACCAAGUGAUUGUGGGAAGGCUAUAAUAAAACUAAAGUAUCGUCUAAUACUAGUAUAAUUUAUUGAGUACUUGAUAAACACUAGGUAUAGUGCUAAGUGCUUUACAUGUAUUAGAAAACCUAAUUCUUACAACAGGUUUAUAAGGGAGGUAUUAUCCCAUUUUACAGAUGAAGAAACAAAGGCCCAAAUGGAUUACAUAUUUUGUCCAGUUUCCACAGCUAGUAUGUAUCAAUGUUGGAAUUGCUAUCUCAAACCAAACCAAACUGACACCUCUCCUUUUAAAAAUGCAAUAUAAAAAGCCCAAAACACAGAGCUAUGAUUUCAAAAGGCAUUGAAUUAUUUAAUGCCUAAGGAAAACAGCGCUCUGUUGAGCCAGGCCCUGUUCUGGGUGCUUUAUGUCACUUCCCUUGAUCCUUACACCACCUGACAAGGUUGCUCUUCUUAUCUUUAUAUUAUAGUCAAGGGUGACAUCCAAACCAGGGCUCUUUAUUGCACUGUGAUGCCAAAUAAGUAUGGAGACACAGAUGAGAAAGGGUUUGUGGUAGAAAACAUUCCCAGAGCACUUCUAUAAAUUCAGCAUAAGCUCAGGUUAGCUUUAAGAUAGAAAAUAGUCCUGAAGUUAUCAUCCAGUUCUCUAAUAUGAAACUCAAAUCUUUGAGUCUGUCAUCCUCCAAAGCACAGAGAUUUUGUUUAUCUAACAGGAAUAUGCUGCAAAUAACAGUCUACAACAUUAAGCCAAGGCUAGAGUUGUGGAUAGAGUUCUUGAGUUCAGUGAUACGAUAAUUUCCUACCUUCAUCUUCUCAUUUGAAAGUUACCAGCAAAUCUUCCAUCAGUUCUAAUGUGAUGCAUCUCUGCUUAUUUCUGCAUUUAACAGCAUUGAUACCCAGGGAUUAUUCAUUCGAGUCAUUUAAAUUCUUGUUUUGUAUUCAGAAAAAGAGGAUUUUCUGGUUCCUCUUUUCUUUUUAAUUAUAUUUAUGUGUUUCCUCCAUAUUCUGAUAAAAGUACCAUAGAAUUAUCUUUUAUUUACUUAUUUAUUUUCGAUACUGUGUUUCAAAUUAAAUGGCCUGUUUUCAGCCUGG